GGGGCACUGAGUCAGCUGGGAUCAGUCCACCUGGCAGCUGAGAUCAACCACCCAGGAAGAACAUGGUUUCUAGGCUCAGCAGUUUUUGCUUCCUGGCUUACUCUGGUCUGGUUGUGUCUACAGUCAAAUAAACGUCCUCAGUUUAUCUGAUGGUCACAGGUAGUGGCUGAAGAAGAGGAGUAUGAGUUUGUUUUCUUACAAAGAGUUCCUGUUCCGAACAGGUUAGCUAUUGCAGGACUGUGGCUUUUUAAAGUUCUGGCUUCCAGCUAAAAACAAAGACGUGUGUUCGUGCCCUUUCUUUUGGAGGAAGAAAACCACAACUUGGAAGCUACAGAGGCUCUAAAAUCAUGGAAUUCUACUGGAUGCUUAUAGUAUCCCUGGAAGUCGAGAGAAAAAAGUUUCCCUGUGAUGGACAGUCAGAAGGCAAGAAAAUACCAGCCUGAGGCAUAUCUAUGAUGUUUGGAAACAAAAGCAUCCAUUGGUGAAAGAGUCUAAAAGGACAGAGAAGAGACUAAAAGCCUGUUCUUGGCUGACCCACUGAAUCUGGCAUUGUUGCGAAUGGAGCAUAAAGAGGAUUAACAGGCCCCAGCAGCAAAUACAAGCUCCUCUGCUUCCCGACCCUUUUCAUCUGCUGUACUGUGCACCCCAGUGAGCCCUGCAGAACCUGCUGCCAUCUGCCUGGACCCUCUUUCUGCAAGAUGGCUCCUACACCAUGACCAUGGCGAAGAAUCAGCUCUGGGUGUCACCCGUGUGUGCAGAGACGGCCUAUGUGCCUCAGCCCCCCUGGGACACUAUGCCGGAUUGGGCUAGA